GUAGUGAUGUAUCCAUAGAGACCUCAUUAGUCCAUAAAAAGUAUAGGCUGUGAACAUAAGUAUAGUAAAUAAGUAUAAGCAUAAGAAUAUGUAUGAAUGAAAGGCCUGGGCCAAAGAUGGUAGGGACAUGGAGAUGGU